rnacentral:sRNA from 1 species
UAUCGCUGCCCUUCUUGGGCGUUUCCUCCCUAGACUUGGGCCGCAUGCUUUGCAUGUGGCCCCUUUUUUUAUCUGU